GACGAACGCUGGCGGCGUGCUUAACACAUGCAAGUCGAACGAUGAAGCCGGAGCUUGCUCUGGUGAAUUAGUGGCGAACGGGUGAGUAACACGUGAGUAACCUGCCCUUGACUCUGGGAUAACUGCGGGAAACUGUAGCUAAUACCGGAUACGACCCUCGGAGGCAUCUCCUGGGGGUGGAAAGAAUUUCGGUCAAGGAUGGACUCGCGGCCUAUCAGCUAGUUGGUGAGGUAAAGGCUCACCAAGGCGACGACGGGUAGCCGGCCUGAGAGGGUGGCCGGCCACACUGGGACUGAGACACGGCCCAGACUCCUACGGGAGGCAGCAGUGGGGAAUAUUGCACAAUGGGCGCAAGCCUGAUGCAGCAACGCCGCGUGAGGGAUGACGGCCUUCGUGUUGUAAACCUCUUUUAGCAGGGAAGAAGCGAAAGUGACGGUACCUGCAGAAAAAGCACCGGCUAACUACGUGCCAGCCGCCGCUGUAA
rnacentral:rRNA from 1 species